UCCCAUGGACGGAGGAGCCUGGUGGGCUACAGUCCACGGGGUCGCAAAGAGUCAGACACGACUGAGCGACUUAACUAAGAAGGACUUUGGGAAAAGAGGGUAUGAACCAGGUACGAAUGCAGGAAUAAACAAGGGCCAGUCAGGGAGCUUGGAUCCCCACCACCAAGUGUCAGCCUGGGGACAGGGACCUGGAAGAAGAGCUAAUACACCAGAGGGAAGAAAAUCAAGCUUCUCAUUUCGCCACUCUUAAGGAGUUUUCUCUUCUUCUGCAAACAGUUCUUCAUGCAGAAGGCCCCUUUUUCUUCCCCAUCAUCCUGUGCAAGUUUCUGGGGCCUCUGAAUUGAGUUCUGGGGCAUCCCCGGAAUUUGUCUCAUCUGUUCUUAAGUCUUUUUCAGAGGAGAAGUUGCUGGAAGUCAUGCCCACCGUGGUGGCAGAGAGCCAGUGAUUGCAGAGGGCAGUUUGGGACUGAUCCAUUAUCCCACCCCCACCCACUGCCAGACCAGGUUCCAGUCCUCCUCCCCCAACUGCCGCUGUUCCUUGGUUGUGUAUAUGGGGCUCUCCAGCCAAUUCCUCUGAAUCCUGGUUUCCGCAGAAGUCAAAUAUAAACCACAGAAAAAAGAAAAGACCCAGAAAUAAAUCUAUAAGAGGUUUGAAAGGACUCAGGCAAUGCCCAAGGAUGGAUGCCCCCAUGGAAAUCCCUAGAUUCCCAGCUCUGGGACAACCCCACUUUAUUGGAGUCAGUCCUGCUUUGGAAGCAUCUGAUACUGACUCUGCAUGAGCCUCUUGAUGAGGGUGAAAGAGGAGAGUGAAAAAAAAUAACUUAAAACUCAG